GACGAACGCUGGCGGCGUGCUUAACACAUGCAAGUCGAACGGAAAGGCCCUGCUUUUGUGGGGUGCUCGAGUGGCGAACGGGUGAGUAACACGUGAGUAACCUGCCCUUGACUUUGGGAUAACUUCAGGAAACUGGGGCUAAUACCGGAUAGGAGCUCCUGCUGCAUGGUGGGGGUUGGAAAGUGUCGGCGGUUGGGGAUGGACUCGCGGCUUAUCAGCUUGUUGGUGGGGUAGGGGCUUACCAAGGCUUUGACGGGUAGCCGGCCUGGGAGGGUGACCGGCCACAUUACGCCUGAGAUACGGACCAGACUCCUACGGGAGGCAGCAGUGGGGAAUAUUGCACAAUGGGCGGAAGCCUGAUGCAAAAACGCCGCGUGCGGGAUGACGGCCUUCGGGUUGUAAACCGCUUUCGCCUGUGACGAAGCGUGAGUGACGGUAAUGGGUAAAGAAGCACCGGCUAACUACGUG
rnacentral:rRNA from 1 species